rfam:Triticum urartu cultivar G1812 contig465321, whole genome shotgun sequence.
AUACCUUUCUCGGCCUUUUGGAUAAGAUCAAGUGUAGUAUUUGUUCUUAUAGUUUAAUAUCUGAUACGUGAACCUACGGGUUCAUGAGAUAUUAAGUUUUUCUUAUGGGAGAGAAUUUAUCUGUGUAGCUCGCUACAUGGAUGGUUUUCAUGCGCCGGCCAAGCGUUGCACUAGUGCUUGGAACAGGCGCACCCCAA